ACUGUGGGAGUUGUAGGCCGCAGCGAGCGGGUAGCGUCCGGUGGGGCUUAACUUUACGCUGUGGCCAGAGACCCGGAAUCUGUUUUCGGAGCUGCUGCUCCUCGGUUAGAGAGUUGGAGGCCACGGUGGCGGGGCGAUGCGAGACAGCGGGCCGCUGGGGCUAGCCGGUCUGGCGCUGCUCCUCGUGGCCUCCGGGGCGGGAACAAGGCCGCGGCCCACCACCCCCGGGGCCCAGCCCCGAUCUAAUGUGGUGUUGGUGGCCUGCGACUCCUUGGAUGGACGCUUGACAUUUUUGCCAGGAAAUCAGACUGUGGAUUUACCUUCCAUAAAUUUUAUGAAAAGACAUGGCACUGUCUUUCUCAAUGCCUACACCAAUUCUCCAAUUUGUUGUCCUUCCCGUGCAGCUAUGUGGAGUGGUCUUUUCACUCAUAUAACAGAAUCUUGGAAUAACUUCAAAGGUCUAGAUCCAGAUUAUGUAACAUGGAUGGAUCUCAUGGAGGAGCAUGGCUACCAUACGCAGAAGAUUGGGAAAUUGGACUUUACUUCUGGACAUCAUUCAGUAAGUAACCGUGUGGAAGCUUGGACUAGGGAUGUUAACUUCCUGCUCCGACAAGAAGGAAGACCCAUGGUGAAACUUACAGGCCAUAGGAAGCAGUUUAGAGUAAUGGAAACAGAUUGGCGGAAUACUGACAAAGCAGUAAAUUGGAUAAAGGAAGAAGCUGUUAACUUUACUCAACCAUUCAUUCUUUACUUGGGACUAAAUUUACCACACCCGUAUCCAUCACCCUAUGCAGGAGAAAAUUUUGGAUCCUCUACAUUUUUAACAUCUCCCUAUUGGCUUGAAAAGGUAAAUUAUGAAGCUAUUAAAAUACCCAAGUGGUCUUCUCUUUCAGAGAUGCAUCCAGUAGACUAUUACUCAUCGUACACCAAGAAUUGCACAGGAGAGUUUACAAAGGAAGAAGUGAGAAAUAUUAGAGCAUUUUAUUAUGCUAUGUGUGCAGAGACAGAUGCCAUGCUGGGUGAGGUUAUUUCAGCUCUGCGAGAUACUGGGCUUCUUGGAAAAACAAUCAUUAUAUUCACUGCAGAUCAUGGAGAACUUGCUAUGGAACACCGUCAGUUCUAUAAAAUGAGCAUGUAUGAAGGAAGUUCCCACAUUCCUCUUUUAGUUAUGGGGCCAGGUUUAAGAGAACAGCACCAAAUACCAAAUGUAGUAUCUCUUGUGGAUAUCUAUCCUACUAUGCUUGAUAUAGCAAGAAUUCCUGUCCCACAGAACCUCAGUGGAUAUUCUCUUAUACCACUGCUACGUGAAAAAGCUGAGAGCGAAGCGUCACCCAGAGGACCUCGGCCCUCAUGGGUGCUGAGUGAGUUCCAUGGGUGCAAUGUCAAUUCCUCUGUGUAUAUGCUGAGAACUGGCAAGUGGAAAUACAUCACAUACUCGGAUGGCUCUUCAGUACUGCCCCAACUCUUUGACCUUACUGCUGAUCCAGAUGAGCUUACAAAUCUUGCCAUAAAAUUCCCAGUAACUGUACGUUCUUUGGACAAAAUACUUCGCUCUAUAGUAAACUAUCCAAAGGUUUCUACUUCUGUUCAAGAGUAUAAUAAACAACAGUUUAUCAGUUGGAAACAAAGUUUGGGUCAUAAUUACUCAAGUGUUAUUGCAAACCUUAGGUGGCAUCAAGACUGGUUAAAGGACCCAAAAAAGUAUGAGAAUGCAAUUGACAAGUGGCUUGGUUACAAUAGGUCCUGCUAAAAGGACUCUACUGUCUAUAAUUGCCCCCUGAGUGCAGAAGGAAGUUUGAAUAUUUUUAAAGGAAGAGGAAAAUGCAGUUGGUUAGUGGUGCUUGUGGGAAGUUGCUCUUAUUAUUGGGGAUGAAACAGCAGAAUGGAAAGAAAUUGAACAACCUGGGUGAAUGUAUUUUUAAAGAGAAUUACAGAAUCAUAGAAUAUUCUGAGUUGGAAGGGAGCCAGAAGGAUCAUUAAGUGCAGCUCCUGACCCUGCAAAGCAGCAUCCUCAAGAGUCACGCCGUGUGCCCAAGAGUGUUGUGCAAGCACUUCCUGAACUCUGUCAGGCUUGGUGCUUCCCUGGAGAGCCUGUUCCAGAGCCCAACCACCCUCCGGGUUGGGUGAGGUGAGUGGAGGAGAACCCAGAAGUAAUUAAGAAGUGGCUCAGGAAAGUGUGGCUCCUUGGGAGCACACUGUCAGGAAGAUUGGCACAGCAAAUUGAGAGGAUGCCUGACUCACACAAUCACUUCUGAGAGGAAGAGCCUCUUCCACUGACUCCUAUGAGUUAUCUGCAUGAGCUCCAUGUGCUGCAAAUAUUUACCUCCUCAGUGAACUAGGUGUUGACUUAUAGCAACAGGCUUUCUAAAAAGGAAAUUUUGACUUUGAAGAAGAUGUCUGACAUUCAUUAUGGUUUUAAUAGUCUGGAGAAAAUCUGAAUGCUAUCCUGUAGUUAUCUAAAUAUGUGAGUAAGUGAACUUAUAUUGAGAGGUGGAAGGUAAACGCUGCAAUGUCAUAAAGAAAAUCUCUUCCUUAAUAUUUUUUGCUGCAGAAUUUUGUCUUUCAAAAGCUGCUUUUGUUGAGGAAACUAGAUUUAAUUUUGUAGACUUCAUGAUGUUUACUGGCACCCACCAGAAAAAAAAAACAUUAAAAUUUAAUCAAAAGCUAAUGGUCAAAGGUAAUGAAGAGCUGCAGCUCCCAUCUUUCUGCAUCAGAGGGAGCAAUCAUUCAUUGCUGCUCUGAAAAGUAGACUCAGCAGGUCCAAAAUUGGGUUAUAAGAGCUGAGGUACCAAAGGCAUAAGGUAUCAUAAAGACAGUCUUGGCUAUGUGGAUUUGUGAUGUAUCCAGUUUUUUAGACACUUUGUCCAAUAUUGUGCUUGUGUUUGCUUGCACUGAAAUAAGGAUGUGUUUGAAGCUUUAGAGAAUUUAAACAUAGAUACUGAGGUCACCCUUAAGCCUUGGCUUGUGCCUGUGCGAGAGUCUGCCUUUCAGGUCUCGUGGGAAGUUGAGCAUAAGGAUGACAAUUUAGGCUCCUGUGGCAUUGAGCAGAGCCAAGGGCACCCCUGAGCAUGUCGGCAGGACAAAGAGAGGAGAUGAACUCUAAUGUGCACUUGUUUGGACACUGUGUACACAAAACUGUAGAUUUUCUGGGGAUUAGCGCUGUCUAAGGCAAAUUUCAUAUCAACGUAUCUCAGGACUUGUCAGUGUCUUCAGGCAGAAUGGUACCUGUGACCAUUAAAGAUUCUUGAUAUCCUUAAAAUUUGAGUGGCCUCUUAAUUAAUGAAGUGAAACAGAAAGAAAAUAAUUAACUGAAUUUAAAAGGAAGCAUAAUUUGUAUUUUAACUACAGAGACUUACCUGUCAUUGAUUAAGUCUCUCUCUCAGAGUUCCUAUCUUUGCUCUUAGACUUUCAGUGUUGAUACAGUGAGGAUAUAUUGCCACACUGGUGCCUUAAAACAAAACCUACUCCAAACUUGGAGGAAACCAAACAGAUUUGACUACAUUCCUUGAGGAUUCCAGGAGGUCUUACAAACAAACAAUAUCUACUUUAGUAUCCUCACACCUGGUGAAGAAUAACCUGCAGUGUUACUUACUGUAUGGGUUUUAAUUUCUUCUCUGAAAUGCCUGAUAUGCGAUGCAAAGUAUGAAACCAUUACAAAAGUAUGAUACCUCUGUCUUAAUCUGGAUGUAGUCACUACUGGUCAAAAAAGAGAGACUGCCCAUGCAGACUUGCUCUAUUCUGCUGGCAUAUGGCAUCAUGCCAGAUGGAAGCAAUUUUUAUUAAUUUUAUAAUAUAUGCAUCAUAUCUGUGCAAAGCAGCACAACAUUGCCAGAGACUGCAGGUGGUGGUUUGAGCUAUUAUUUGGUGCCUUGUGAAAAUGAUUUUUUGAGCAAAACUCUUUCAAGCUAGCAGGAAAACAGGCAAUUCAGUUAUCUUAAUAUGAUUAUGUAUUCCUCCUAAAAACUAGACUUCUCUCGACAAGAAAAGAGAAAAAUAUAAUAAUCUUUGUAAUUUGUAGAUAGUAAGAGAAUAAUUUGCAUUUUGCUGGUUUAGAAUGUUUAGAAUUUAAAUUGAAUAAAAUUUCUGUAAGUCUCCUUGGGCUCAGUAUAAACUGAAGAAGUUAAUUGGUUUUACUUCUUGGAAUUUUUGUUGAAGAAUCUUAAAGCACUUCAGAAGGAGCAGGUGCAGAAUGACUUUCUAUGAGAGAAUGGUAUUCAGUCAGCUGAGGAUCCAUAAAUAUGCACAAAGUAUAUUUGCAGUUGCUUAUAUGAACAACUACUUUUCAGUAUGUGAACUAUGGAAAUUUUUAUUCAAAUUGCUAUGAUUACUACAUUCCUUUUUUUCCCCACUGCAGUUUUACCUGAAAUUUUCAUAGUAUUGAACUUUUCCUGCACCUUCUCUACAGAAUAGAUUAAGUUAUUCUAGAAUAAAUAAUUCAGUUGUGUUAAAGGGAAGAUAGGACAAAGGGACUGCAAGACCCUCCACCAUCCACUUAAUUUUAAAAUGGAGUCUGUAGAAAGACUGUGAAGAUGUGAAACUAAACGUAGCACAUUCCUUAUUUUCUCACCUUGAAAUUUUAGUAUUGUAAGUUAUUUUUAUGGCAGUGUAAUUUCUCUAAAGCUUGCAAAAUAAUAAACUUCUUGUGGGAGACAGACAUGAAAGUUUUUUGUCCUUCAGGGGUUUUUAAAUGAAAGUUUCUAAAUACAUCAUCUUUCUGAUUAGACAUGAGAAAGCCAUUACUAUACUUAACUUAUCUAUGAAUGAAGUUGUUGAUAUGCCUGAAAACUCACUGAAUGUUAAGAGUAAAAAUACAAGCAAAUAUUUACCAUACAAUGUAGACAGAUAUAGGUAUCUACAAUAGCUACCUGACUUAUUUUAAGUUGAGGCUUACAGGUUCUGAUUCUGAUUUAUUUCAAGAACACAUUAUAGUUUGCAAAGUCUGCUUGGGACUGUGCUUUUAGGCCACUACUGUUCUUCUCUUCCAAGUAGAACAGUAAACCAAUAUCUGACUCUCAGUAAUAUAUGCAUCAUGAGCACCAAAGGCUUUCCUUAACGGAAUACUUGUAAAUAAACUCUGGCAUUUUAAUACUUCUGACUUUACACAACAGUGAAAAUUAAUUCAGUAUUUCUUUUACCUACAUCAAUUUUUUUGAUCAUUGAAGCUCUUAAAAUGCCUCUUUUAAAUCAGAACUUUGAGUGCAAGUAGUUGAAAAUAUGUAAUAAAUGUUAUGGAUUAUUAAUAUUUAAGAGAUGAGUGAUCCUCCCAGGAAAAAGUGAAACAAGUAUAACCCCUUUUCCUGUAUGCCAGCUGACCAUGAACAGCCUUACAGUCUCCUUAUGCACACCUAUUAAGUUCAUAACAAAGAAAAUCUUCCUCUGAGUCACUUGAAAUUACUAUAUUUUUUAAAAAUUGCUAUUCAUACAUAUCAAAUAUCUAACUAAUUCAAAACACCGAUUGCCACUACACAGUUUCACAAGAAAAACAAAUAAUUUGAAGUCACAAUCACUGUAAAAACCACAAAAACUAUUAGCAUGGGGAAGUAACAUCUGGUAGCACCAAUAAAAACAGGUAUUGAAACAUAAACUCUCCCUUAACUUCUCCUCCCCUCCGCCAAGCAGGCAGCUGCCAUGAAUCUGGAUAACACACCAUACAAAAAGGAGACCACAGUGUCGUUGCAUUCAUGUUAAAACCACCUCUUCAUUCAAAAUAUUGACAGGGGCAGUUGUAGUCACAGAGGAAACCCUUAGGCUUGGCUGGACUCACACGGAAUGGCUGGUCACCAGCAUCACAGGAAAUUUUUUAUGGUAUCACAUACUAGAUCGGACAACUGGCAGAAAGAAGGAAUUAUCUUAUGGUAAGUUAGGUAUGCCAGUUAGUGUAGCCAGAAUAAGAGCUGGACAGACAGUUAUGGUUUAGAGCUCAUUGCAGACAAUGGCAUGCCAAUACUGUGCUAAGUUUUGCAGAACUGGUAACUCAAAUCCGGAAAAUGUCCCAGCCGUGGAUGGCAGCUCUGAAUGUGAGGGAUACAUUUUUUUAUGGAAAGGGCAUAUUUGUACAUCCAUAUUUGUACAUCCACUUCUGGAACAUGACAAAGCAGAAUCUGUGCUUGCCUGGAGGAGAGUGCCACACCUCUUUAACAGACUUCCAUGGGACUAUAAGUGUUCACCCAUGAUUGCACCCACUGCACUUGCUGACUUCUUAGGAACAGUCUCACUUUCUCUGGAUAUUUGGAUAGGAGGAGAACCCCCUGAAACUGUAGGGCAGCUGCAACAGCCACAUGGCAAGCACUUUGUGAUGUGGAAGCUGAGAUUCCACCUGAAUCCCAAAGCCCUCUUUUUAUUUAGCACUGCUGGCUGCAUUUUCAACUCAGUGUAUUUCCUUUCUUUUCUGUUUCACAGGAACGUCAAAUGAACUGCACAUGGAUGAAUUAGCCUGCACCAACCUUGAAAUGUAUACAAGGAAUUUUUUAGGGCAGCAGCAAUUAUUGUAAUAAAUUGCUCUUGAAUGAAAUUUAAAGAUUGUCCUUAUGUCUAUAUCCUUGAAGAAAAAGGACAGGGUGGCAAUCUGUUUUGAGGUGUAGAAAAUUCUGGGUCUGAUAGUUUAAUAGCUUUAGAAAGUCAGUAAAUCUUUGAGUAUGGCUUUCAAACAGAAAAAAAUAAAAGUUCUGCAAAUUUUAAUAGCUAAAUUAUUAGAAAAUUAUUUUUGUUUAUGCUGACUAUAAAUUUUAGAAAUUUAUUUCAAAAAUAAAUAUAGCAUGGUAUGUAAUUUACUUGGUGAGAAGCCACCUGCACCAAUGACUAAUUGCUCAUCAGCAUGCACUUAAGCUAAUAACAAAGUGAGGGGAACUGAAUUUUCCCUACUUAAGAAUAACAAUGAGGUUGAUUGAUGGAUUAUUUACCCUGUCUGCAGUUCUGGCAUCCAUCUGAACAUGGUAUGCAGUCUUCAGAGUCAGGAUCUUCGACUUCACCUGUGUUUUGCAAAUCAUUAGUUUAAUUCUAGAUAAUGCAACAUUUGGAAGCACUCAGCAAGUUCCUGGAAAUAAACUUGAUUC